AUUUAUAUAGUUUAACCUAAAACAUUACAUUUUCACUGUAAAAAUAAAAUAUUUUAUUUUUAUAAAUA
rnacentral:tRNA from 1 species